GAUGAACGCUGGCGGCGUGCCUAAUACAUGCAAGUCGAGCGAACAGACGAGGAGCUUGCUCCUCUGACGUUAGCGGCGGACGGGUGAGUAACACGUGGAUAACCUACCUAUAAGACUGGGAUAACUUCGGGAAACCGGAGCUAAUACCGGAUAAUAUAUUGAACCGCAUGGUUCAAUAGUGAAAUACGGUUUUGCUGUCACUUAUAGAUGGAUCCGCGCCUCAUUAGCUAGUUGUUAAGGUAACGGCUUACCAAGGCAACGAUGCGUAGCCGACCUGAGAGGGUGAUCGGCCACACUGGAACUGAGACACGGACCAGAGUCCUACGGGAGGCAGCAGUCUGGAAUCUUCCGCAGUGGGCGGAAGCCUGACGGAGCAGCGCCGAGUGAGUGAUGAAGGUCUUCGGAUCGUAAAACUCUGUUAUUAGGGAAGAACAAAUGUGUAAGUAAAUAUGCACGUCUUGACGGUACCUAAUCAGAAAGCCACGGCUAACUACGUG
rnacentral:rRNA from 1 species